rnacentral:rRNA from 1 species
UGCAGUCGAACGAUGAACCUCCUUCGGGAGGGGAUUAGUGGCGAACGGGUGAGUAACACGUGGGCAAUCUGCCCUUCACUCUGGGACAAGCCCUGGAAACGGGGUCUAAUACCGGAUACGAGCCUGAGAGGCAUCUCUCGGGUUGGAAAGCUCCGGUGGUGAAGGAUGAGCCCGCGGCCUAUCAGCUUGUUGGUGAGGUAAUGGCUCACCAAGGCGACGACGGGUAGCCGGCCUGAGAGGGCGACCGGCCACACUGGGACUGAGACACGGCCCAGACUCCUACGGGAGGCAGCAGUGGGGAAUAUUGCACAAUGGGCGAAAGCCUGAUGCAGCGACGCCGCGUGAGGGAUGACGGCCUUCGGGUUGUAAACCUCUUUCAGCAGGGAAGAAGCGAGAGUGACGGUACCUGCAGAAGAAGCGCCGGCUAACUACGUGCCAGCAGCCGCGGUAAUACGUAGGGCGCAAGCGUUGUCCGGAAUUAUUGGGCGUAAAGAGCUCGUAGGCGGCUUGUCACGUCGAUUGUGAAAGCCCGAGGCUUAACCUCGGGUCUGCAGUCGAUACGGGCUAGCUAGAGUGUGGUAGGGGAGAUCGGAAUUCCUGGUGUAGCGGUGAAAUGCGCAGAUAUCAGG